GAGUUUGGGCUCAUGUCUGGUCCAUUCGGCAACGUCCACGUCGAACAAGCCUUUGUAUAGGGGCCGAGUCCAUACAUCCCGCUGUUGCGAGCCAAGGCACACAGCCUCGGGCGAGCGGGGUACGCGCAGGUACACGGACACUGGCAAUAUUGCCGGUGUGUACACACCGUCAAAAUCUACUAAUCGGGACGAGCUUGACCAAUGAGAGGAUACGUCAAGAUACCAGAUGAAACGUUAUGACGAAGGACGAAGGAAAAUAGAGGAACGUUGGGAAAAUGGGAUAAGAAUGACGCGGGGAUUUUCGAGAGGAAUCGAGGCGAUAAGCUCGAGGCUCUGCCGGUGACCGUAUGCACGUACUCUGUUAGAACAGUGCGCCCGUUGCACACGUAGGACGCGCGGACGAACGUGCGGUGAGACGAGAGAACGACGAACCAGCGCUAGAUUAAUAGAGCCAUUCAUAAUCUUGUUCCGGCAAAAGUAAAGCUCGCGUGUAUGGAGAAAAGCGAGAAAGAGGGAGGGAGAGAGAGAAAAUCGUUAUCGCGAUUCAAAUAUCGUCAUGCCGGUACACACGGUUGUACGAUGCUUGUCACGAAAUAGGCGUUUACUAUACGCAACAAAUAACAGCUCUGACGCUCACGAAUGCACGAGCACGCGGCUCCUCAUCGCUCGAAACGCAGCUACAAAUCGCGAGGAGAAAGAAAUACGAAUAACUCGAUCCCUCCGACUUGCCGGAGCCUUUUCGUCGCUCUUAUUACCAUCAAUUAUAAAUUACGAACGAAAUGAAAGUGCUCAACGAAAAGCUUAUUCGGAAAAUACACAGGAUAAUCCAGUGCUCGAAUAACCGUGCGACAAUCCUCCGAAAAGUGGGCUCGAGUUGAUGGAAUAUUCGUGGAAUGUACGUGUGCCGCGUCGUCGGGUGAACGCACACUGCAUAUUCUGCAUCCAAGCAGCUCCUUAAUAUAUACCGCAAACGCGGAUAGUGAGCCGAGAAUUCCGAGGGUAAGAGGGUCUCGGUGGAGAAUUGGCGUGAAACUGCGAGAACUUUACGGAAGCAAAGCGCCUCGUGGAGGGGUGUACGCAGGGAGCUGUGGAACAGGCGACGAUAAUACGAGCAUGUGCGGGGAGCACAGGGACGAACGGGGGCUUUUUUCAUUCCACAAUAAAUAUGUAAACGGAAUUACUCGAUCCUGGAAACGUCGGGCUCUGUGUAUAAAUCGUAUCCAUAUGUAAAUGCGCGGGGAAGGGAGACAAACCAGAGGAGAAAGAAGCCGGUGCCGCGAUUCUCCUUUUUCGCCAACCGACGACGACGACGACGACGACGACGACUCUAGUUCAAUACACGAAAGGAAGAACAGAGGGAAAGCUCCAAUCUCACGUAUGCGUGCAUACAUAAAAUUAUGCAUAAAGGGCCGCCAUCACACUGAAUUUUUAGCGUGCAUCCGACAAGUUAUAAAUAAAUCUUAACUUGGAAUAAAUCCUUACGUAGCCUCGACUGGUCUCGUUCUCUCGAGUCUAGCAUCGUUCCAAAUACACUUUCGCAGAUGUACCGCGGCCGAGCGAGCGAGGAACUGGGAUCGCUCGCAGUGCCCUCGGGCAAUGAAACCCACGCCCGUCGCCGCGCGAUCCCCCGAGAAUUUCACUUUUAUGCUAAUAUAUUUACCCCAGGGCUACGUAGAUCUCAACUCAAUCAGGUGCACAGGGUGCGUGACUGAAUCGGAACUCGACGUCGUCCUACGGCUGCAGAUCCGCACGGUGGAAUUCAAAGCCGCCAAGCCCGAUGAUCCGAUUUCCCAUCGAAUCGACUCCGGCUACGAGCUCGUCACGACGCCACGAACGAGACAUUCCGCGCAGUUUGUUCGAUCGCGGUACGCAGCCGACGAUGCAGGUCCACCCUGUACAUGAGCCGGCUCACAAAUUUUGGUUUGUAAGCAGACUCUUGAGUGGAUGAUGGAAGCUUGAUGGCCCACUGGGUCUCGACGUCAUUCCAAUGUUCAACUGUUCUCGCAGUGUGUGUACGUGUUCCGAGCUCUGUGUACGAAGUUGAAGAGCCUCCCGAAGCUCUAUCGAGCACUCUGCACACAGGAAUAGAGUUCCUUGCCUUCCGGCUGCACCUGAGCAGGCGCGCAUAUAUUUAUGUACGAAUAUUAAGGCAUGUUUAUACAGCUAUGGAGUUCGGUGUGGAGUUAUGCGAAUCCAUAUAUCCGGUUACGUAGCGUCAUAUAUUAGAAAUAUUGGCGUGUAUACAAAUACACGUGCAUUAGAAGAAAGUCUCGUUGGAGCAGGGGCGGAGAGCGAAGGGAUCGAAGGAUACGACGGCGGGGCACGUAUUUUCUGUGCCUUCUCGCGGUGGGAGCCUCGGAGAGCAUACGUGCCCGUAUCACCGCGCCGAAUCCAUAAAUAUCAUCGUUUCAAUGUGUACGUCCAAAGUGUGCGCACUUCUGAGCUCAUUGAUUUUCAAUUACGUUCGCGGAAAAUUUCUCUCUUUCGCCUGCUGCUUCGUCCCUUUUCGUUUCUCCAUCGUUUCGCGAUAG
rnacentral:lncRNA from 1 species